AGGACAAGCUAAUAAUGCCAUGUGUGCACAACCAGCAUCUGAAAGACCAAUGUAGUACAUGAGGGCAUCAUCUCAGUUCAUAGAUAAUCGGUGAACAAGGGCAUCAUUUUUUCAGUUUAGAAACAAUAUAAAUUGGCAAUGGAUGUCAAUCUGCAAGUACAUAAGAGAGGUGAAACUAUCUUACAUAGUUGUGCAUGUUUAACAUGAGCUUAGUUUGUGAAGCAUUUGUCAAACAUCCAAGAAAAGAAUACGAAAAUAGAUCGAAGGACAUGUACGACGGAGGCUGCGGUGAAAUUUCCCAGAGAUGAACGUGACUUUCGAUGCACAAUAGACCGUUUCAAGGACCUGAAUAUGUACAAAACCCACAAUACGUUAUUAUGGAUAAUUAUACGACAUGCCUUCAAAGAAUUAAAAUGUGCUUACUAACAGAAAUACAUUGAAAUAGGAUGCAGAUCAGGAAAACGUACCAGUCACUUUGACCCAACUCGAUGUAGCUUUGUUCACUGGAUCUUCUCCCCGACAACUUCAUUGUAGUUUCUGCACAAUAACACAUUUUCUGAAGAAAUAUAUUCUGCACACAACCAACGGUUUCUCUGAAGAAAUGUAUUCUGCACAACAGAUUAAAGUUUCUGCAUGAUAACUAAAAAAAGAUGGACAUUAACAAACAUGCAAGCGGGCUGAAAGGAGAAACCAUGUAAUCCAAGUCUGCUCCCUAACCACAGAUCUAUCAACAUAUUACACAACACACAGAAGUGUGUUCUUGUGUUUUCUUACAAAUAAGAUGUUGUGUAGCCAAAUCAUAUAGACUGAACCAACCUGCGCGACGUAAACACUUGCAACAGAUCAUGUAUCAACAUUUUACUUUCCUCUUCCUUUCCCUUGAUUCUCGGGGAAAUAUGAUGGCCCAAAACUGGAGCACAAAAAAGUGUUAGCUGAUUUUGGA
rnacentral:lncRNA from 1 species